GAUGUCAUUCUGCGGGAAGCCCAGGGGAAAAGUGAAGACGUGACCUCAAACUGCCUUCAGCCUGGCAGCGCCAACCUCCCUCUGUCAUCCACCGCACUACGUGUUGUGUCCAACACCUGCAUCACCGAACACUAAAGAUGCUGCAGUCAAUGGGGAACAUAAAAUAGCCAGAGCUCAUUUUGGAGAUGUUUUGAUGAACCUGAUUUUUAAGAUGGUUACCUACUACGUACUCAGCACUGGUGAGACACAUCUGGAAUGCUGGAUCUGGUCCUGGAAUCCCCAGUGCAAGACAGGCUUGAACAUACAGGACUGAGUCCAGUGCAUGGCCAGAAAUUUGAUUAAGGGAAUCUUAUCCAUGUGGAUAAAUACCUGAUGGGAGAGAAUCAAUGAAGAAGACAGACCCAGGCUCUUCCCAGUGUUAACACACAUUGAACAUGAGGCAAUGGGCACAAACUGAAACAUGGAAAAUUCGAUUUUAACAUAGGACAAAACUUUUCGAUCAUGAGAGUGGUGGAACACCAGCAUAGGCUGCGCUGAGAAGGUGUGAAGUCUCCAUCCUUGGAGAUUCCACCUUGGGAGCCAAUUCUCCUGUAAUGGCUACACAGCAUCGUACUGCAAAUGACCACAUUCAUCAGGAGAGUUGCAGCCACUGGGAGUUUCUCGCUCUCUGUGCUACCUCCAAAAUCAUAACUAAUUGUUGAUGAACUAGAACAAUGAGAUACAUGUUUAUACAGUCUCGAAGUUGACGGAAGCCACGUUCCCAAGGCUACUCAGCAACAAACUCUUAUUCAACCAACGUGGAAACCUUUUGACAAGAACGUGCCCUUUUUCUGAGGCCACUUUAGGAUCUGCAAAAGAAUUCUGCAGGAGGAGUACCAGAGCACGUGCAAAUCUGCAGCAAGAAGAAAGCAGUUGUACAUCCUCACUGAAGUGAAGUCACCACAGCACUGGGAAAGGAAAAGAUCGUCACUGAAAUCUAAAAGGACACAGCAAUUCAACGAGAUCGCUGUUCUUUGCUUGAAAGCAUUAGCCCAGCUUUGUGAGGUUUGGAUGGACAACAUGUGAUCAGUGCUUCAGUAGCUCCAAUUCUGGUACAAAUAAGAGGGUGGAAAAAGGAGGUGUUGGCUACUUAUGGGGCGCUUAUGGGACAUUUCACAGAACCAUAGAAAUAUGGUAGAUGGCCUCAGGAGGCCAUAUUGCCCUGUCUCCCACUCAAAACAUGACCUGAACCAAUGCAAAAUUAGCAUUUCUGGCUUCAUCCAGACAAAUCAUGAAAACCUCCAAUUGUGGAGAUUGCACAUUUGUUUCAGCAAUCUGUUCCAGUGCUGUGACAUCUUCCCAGUAACAGAGUACUCCCUAAUGUCCAGUCGCAUUUGUUUAGUCCCAUGAUGUUGAUCUCUCCACUUUAGAUACACAGCACAAGGAAACCAUGAUGGAGGUGGAUGUUGGUCUCUCAACAAAAGCAGCAGAUUCACAGAUGUUAAAAGCUUGUGAGGUCAAAGAUGUAAUGGCAGCUGUUACAACAAAGGCAAGUUGCUUCAUAGGACUGUGAUGAAAGGUGGCAAUUGAGCACUGCUCCAUCCUAUCUAUCAUCUCCAUAGCCCUUGAGUCAACUCAUUAGACCUACUGUCACACUGUUAUCUUUGACUGCAGGAAGCCCAUGACACUAUGAAGAUGAGAUCUGGUCGUUGUCUGAUGGGUGGAAAUGCAUGGCGACAUCUUAUAAGUGAAAGCUGCAGUGAAGGUGGCUGUAAUGUUGUGCUCGGGACGGUGACAACCCUGUUGCCUUGCUGACUUGAGCAUAUUUUUUUUCUAGAAGCAAAAUUCUCCUUAAAGACAGAGUGGCUUAAUAAACAAGAUAUAUUUGUGUAUGUGCCCUCCAGCACUAUUUGACAU